CGUAGGUGGCAAGCGUCGUCCGGAUUUACUGGGCGUAAAGCGAACGCAGGCGGAUUCUUAAGUAGGAAGUGAAAGGUUGGAGCUUAACUCUAACACUGCUCCCUAUACUGGGAAUCUUGAGUAGCGGAGAGGAAAACGGAACAAGUUGUGUAGCGGUGAAAUGCGUUGAUAUAACUUGGAACACCAAUGGCGAAAGCAGUUUUCUGGACGCAGACUGACGCUGAGGUUCGAAAGCCAAGGUAGCAAACAGGAUUAGAUACCCUGGUAGUCUUGGCCAUAAACGAUGUUCACUAGGUGUUGGGGGGUAACCCUCGGUGCCGCAGCUAACGCAUUAAGUGAACCGCCUGGGGACUACGGCCGCAAGGUUG
rnacentral:rRNA from 1 species